GUCUUUUUAGUAUAAAAAUAUAAAUGACUUCCAAUUAUUAGAUCUUAGCUAAGAAAAGACA
rnacentral:tRNA from 1 species